AUCAAAAAAGACCCCCAGGAAAAGUGGAGAAAGGAAGCUCGGAACGGUUGCGUCGCGGAUUUUCUGGAGCACGUCGAGUUAGAAGACACCCUUUCCUGUCGCGGGUGGUGCGGAGUCGGCUCGUGGGUCUCUGAGAGCCGAAAAUUGAGAGCUUCUUCGCGCCGCGGGGACUGCACCCGGCGGCUCAGCAGCCGUCACCAUGCCACAAAAUGAAUAUAUUGAGUUACACCGUAAGCGCUAUGGAUAUCGUUUGGAUUACCAUGAGAAAAAGAGAAAGAAGGAAGGUCGAGAGGCUCAUGAACGUUCAAAGAAGGCAAAAAAGAUGAUUGGUCUGAAAGCUAAGCUCUACCAUAAACAGUGCCAUGCUGAGAAAAUACAAAUGAAAAAGACUAUUAAGAUACAUGAAAAGAGAAACACCAAACAGAAGAAUGAUGAAAAGACUCCACAAGGUGCAGUACCUGCAUAUCUACUGGACCGAGAGGGACAGUCUCGAGCUAAAGUACUUUCCAAUAUGAUUAAACAGAAACGAAAAGAGAAAGCGGGAAAAUGGGAGGUCCCUCUGCCUAAAGUUCGUGCCCAGGGAGAAACAGAAGUAUUAAAAGUUAUUCGAACAGGAAAGAGAAAGAAGAAAGCCUGGAAGAGGAUGGUUACUAAAGUCUGCUUUGUUGGAGAUGGCUUUACCCGAAAACCACCUAAAUAUGAAAGAUUCAUCAGGCCAAUGGGAUUACGUUUCAAGAAGGCUCAUGUAACACAUCCUGAACUGAAAGCCACCUUUUGCUUGCCAAUACUUGGUGUAAAGAAGAAUCCCUCAUCCCCACUAUAUACAACUUUGGGUGUUAUUACCAAAGGAACCGUCAUUGAGGUGAACGUAAGUGAAUUGGGCCUUGUAACACAAGGAGGCAAAGUCAUCUGGGGAAAAUAUGCCCAGGUUACCAAUAAUCCUGAAAAUGAUGGAUGCAUAAAUGCAGUCUUACUGGUUUGACAGCAGUUACAUACAAAUAACUCCUUAUAAUUACUGAAGACUACACACCAGUUGGGAAAUCAUUACUCUGAUAUUUCUGAAUACUACCAAUCAACCUUACAUGUUGUCUUCAGUCAAAGAAAACUAUUUAUUCUACUGUUUUAAAAAUGAAAAAAGCCAACAUUAAAAUGAUCUAGUUUAAAAAAAAAAAAA